rnacentral:rRNA from 1 species
AUUGAACGCUGGCGGCAGGCCUAACACAUGCAAGUCGAACGAGUGGCGGACGGGUGAGUAAUGUCUGGGAAACUGCCUGAUGGAGGGGGAUAACUACUGGAAACGGUAGCUAAUACCGCAUACCAUCAGAUGUGCCCAGAUGGGAUUAGCUAGUUGGUGGGGUAACGGCUCACAAGGGCGACGCUCCCUCGCUGGUCUGAGAGGAUGAACAGCCACACUGGAACUGAGACACGGUCCAGACUCCUACGGGAGGCAGCAGUGGGGAAUAUUGCACAAUGGGCGCAAGCCUGAUGCAGCCAUGCCGCGUGUAUGAAGAAGGCCUUCGGGUUGUAAAGUACUUUCAGCGGGGAGGCGUGACCAAAAGAAUAAGCACCGGCUAACUUCGUGCCAGCAGCCGCGGUAAUAG